AAAAGAAAGUGAAGCUAAUCAUAAGAAAUAGUAAUAAAUCAAGCUCCUGAUGGGAAAAAUGGUUAGGUGUGUGAUUGAUCAUACCAUGCAAUUGUUGCAAUAAUAUGAAUAGGAUAUUAAAAUUAAGAUACACAGGCUGGACUCAUCUAAAAAUCAAUCGAGUGCUGAACUGGAUCAAAACAGUUUGUAGAUCACUCGAGUCUUAAACCAGUUAAACAGAAAAAACAGGUGAUAUUAUCAAUUUAGAUGAGUGAUUUCCAUCCUUCACUUAUCAACAUUGAAAUCAGACAUUGACUGAGUUGAACAUCAACCAAAGGCUAUUUAAAACAAUCCCAUCCCAUUUAAUAAUAGAUUCUGAGACUAAAACUAUUUAUCAAACAUCAACAUGUCCAAUAUGGGGAAGCAAAUGAAAAGCUUGUACAACUAAGAAAACCAUAUGAGACUAAAGUCAAACAAUGCAUGAGUCAGCUCAACCUGAAGCUCCCAAGAGAGAUUGUUAAGUUUCUAUCCCCAAAGUUAAUAUUGAUGAA
rnacentral:misc_RNA from 1 species